UGAGUACGAGAUGCUACGGCAUCGAAGCAGUCUAUGUCAUACUUCCAAGAAAAGCUUGCACUGUCAGAAACAGAUAAUGCCUGUACCAUAACCGACACAGGUGGGUAGGUAGAGUAUACUAAGGGGCGCGAGAUAACUCUCUCUAAGGAACUCGGCAAAAUGACUCCGUAACUUCGGGAGAAGGAGUGCCUUAUUUUUAAGGUUGCAAUAACAAGAUCCAAGCAACUGUUUACCAAAAACACAGGUCUCCGCUAAGUCGUAAGACGAUGUAUGGGGGCUGACGCCUGCCCAGUGCCAGAAGGUUAAAGAAGUCGGUUAGCAUUCGCGAAGCUGGUAACUGAAGCCCUGGUGAACGGCGGCCGUAACAAUAACGGUCCUAAGGUAGCGAAAUUCCUGUCGGGUAAGUUCCGACCCGCACGAAAGGCGUAAUGAUUUGGAUACUGUCUCGGAGAGGGGCUCGGUGAAAUAGACUUGUCUGUGAAGAUGCGGACUACCUGCACCUGGACAGAAAGACCCUAUGAAGCUUUACUGUAACUUGAAAUUGAAAUUGGACUUUAUUUGCGCAGUAUAGGUGGGAGGCGUUGAAAAUAUUCUUGCGGGAAUAUUGGAGCCAUCAGUGAGAUACCACUCUUGUAAUGUUAGAUUUCUAACUUUAUAUCAUUAUCUGGUUAAAGAACAGUUUCAGGCGGGCAGUUUGACUGGGGCGGUCGCCUCCCAAAUGGUAACGGAGGCGCACAAAGGUUUCCUCUGAACGGGUAGAAAUCGUAUCUAGAGUGUAAAGGCAUAAGGAAGCUUGACUGUGAGACCUACAAGUCGAGCAGGGACGAAAGUCGGUCUUAGUGAUCUGACGGUGCUGAGUGGAAAGGCCGUCACUCAACGGAUAAAAGUUACUCUAAGGAUAACAGGCUGAUCUCCCCCAAGAGUUCACAUCGACGGGGAGGUUUGGCACCUCGAUGUCGGCUCAUCGCAUCCUGGGGCGGUAGUACGUCCCAAGGGUUGGGCUGUUCGCCCAUGAAAGCGGUACGCGAGCUGGGUUCAGAACGUCGUGAGACAGUUCGGUCCAUAUCCGGUGUAGGCGUUAGAAUAUUGAGAGGAGCCUUCUUUAGUACGAGAGGACCGAGAAGGACAUACCUCUGGUGUACCAGUUAUCGUGCCAACGGUAAACGCUGGGUAGCUAUGUAUGGAGUGGAUAACCGCUGAAAGCAUCUAAGUGGGAAGCCCACCUCAAGAUAAGUAUUCUCAGC
rnacentral:rRNA from 1 species